rnacentral:rRNA from 1 species
UACAGAGGUCUCAAGCGUUGUUCGGAUUCAUUGGGCGUAAAGGGUGCGUAGGUGGCUCCGUAAGUCGGGUGUGAAAUUUCGGAGCUUAACUCCGAAACUGCAUUCGAUACUGCGGUGCUUGAGGACUGGAGAGGAGACUGGAAUUCAUGGUGUAGCAGUGAAAUGCGUAGAGAUCAUGAGGAAGACCAGUGGCGAAGGCGGGUCUCUGGACAGUUCCUGACACUGAGGCACGAAGGCCAGGGGAGCAAACGGG